GCCCUGCACGGUCGGGAGGGGGGGGAAGGGGAAGGAGCGAGGCCCAAUCCGCAACUGCCCCUGUGCAGGGGUCGCGCUAGACGGCUGAGGCUCGCACGGAAAGGCUGCUAGUUCUAAACUCAGACCCGCAGUCCCGUCUGUCUCCGCGCUCCCUCUGCAAAGGGCUGCAGGGCCAAAGCGCUUCACCAUUUCAGACCCGUCCAAGCCUGGGCUGGCUUCACUCUAGAGUUGGGGGGAGGCCCUCUGAACCCCGGCGGCCCUCCCUCCAGUGCACGCGGAAGACGUGACUAGAACAUGAUGGCAGCCGCCUUCCCGUCCAUCGUCAGGAAGGUCUGCGACGGGACUUGGGAUGAACUCCGGCCUGUUUUGGCCUAGGCUUUUCCAGACCACCCAAGGGGCUCUGGGCACAAAAUAAGAAGAAAGACCUCGGCCUGGAAGGCUCGCUAGGCCCAGAAGGCCCAGGCUCGACUGAGUUCCUGUCAAGGCUGCCUAGCCCACAAGAAGUCAAGAUCCUCUCUAUGUGGCGAGUGUCUCGGUGCCACACAAGUCGCCUCCCUGCUCUGCUCACCAGAUAUGUCUCUGUACAGAAACGAGGAAGAGCACUUAAACCCAGCCGAGUUACUGGCAUGCGCGACCUUCCCACCGGCGCCUGAAGAUCAUCAUAAAGAGAAGCUAUGGGUGCACACACAGCAGUUUUGAUGUGACCCCCACCAGAAACAGAUCAGGUACCUGAGGUGGCUGGCCACGAGGACCUCCUCUACUGAUCCGAGGCCUGAGAAAGUGUCAUCCAGAAAAGUAAGAUCAGAUAUUUACAUUUUCAGAUGGUGUUUUUGCUUUAAGUGCGGAGGGUUUUUGCUUCUUUAGUUAUUAAAGCUUAAAACCGCACUAAGAUAGAAUAAAUAAAAUCAAAACUCUGAAACAAUCAUUUUUACCACGGAGACUGUAAAUAGAACUUGUUCCACUACAUGCAGAGGAUUAAUUCGAAGGAAGGCAAGAGAAACACAGUCACAUUUUACAGCAUGUGAUUGUUUUGGGUAAGCCAGAUGCUAUGAUGCCUUUUCCUUACUACCUUAGUACGUGUGGCAUUGGAAACGUCCCUCUCUGUUACAGUUACCCAUCAAAUGACAGAGUGGAUUUAAAACAUAUUUGCAGUGGUUUGCCAUGAAAUGCUAUUCCACUUGGGGAAAUAAUAAGCGUUCUAUGCUUUUGGAAACUAUUAUGUCAAUUAUUUGUACCAGUUCUAGCGUUACUAGCCCCAAACUAGAAGUAUUUAAAAAGCCAAACACAACUAGAAAGAAUAAAAAAACUUGGGCAAAUCGUAAGAAAAACAAGGCAAUUCUUUUCUGCUUAGUUACCUGGAAC